ACAUGAACAACGCAAUAAAAAAAAAUAACCAACAUUCUACAUAAAAGCGUUCCUACAAAGGCUUCUCUGAAUGCCCAUGAGGUAUGGAAAUCGUCUAUUAGAAUGGAGAAUGAUUCCCUUUUCUUUUAUAUUUUUUUUUAAAAGGAAAAAAAGGAUCGCGUCGGUCUUGGGUGCAGUGUUGCUCGGCCCUCUUUUUCGUUUUUCGAAAGAGGUUUGUGGGUGGGAUUGCAAUGACCGGCGGGACAU
rnacentral:sRNA from 1 species